AUGCUUCUAGCUCUUAGAAUAUACUAUUUGAAUAUUUUUUUCUUUUCCUGGAGAAUCCUUAUAUAUACUUUGUACAGGAAAGAAAUUAUAAUUCACAUAAAAAUUAACGCUCACUGUAAAACUGGUGAAACGCAUUCAGGCCUAGGUCUCCACACCUGUGAUCCAGCAUUGCAUAUCAUGAUCCUUCUUUACUUAAUACAUAGUUUUCUGGUUUCCUUUCCUUGCACUUAAAACCUUUCCCCAAUUUAAUUCAUUUACCUGUUCCUCACAUCAAAGGACAGAAAUUACCUGGCAAACAGGAAAAAUCUCAACUAAGUCUACCUGUUCAAAAGCCCACUUGCAUUUUGGUGCUAUGGCUUGGAAAAUGCACAAAAGGGUUGGGGAUCCAUUUGCAAUUAUUUCAAUGUUUCUUAGAGUCUUGAAUGACCAAUACUGAAAUAAGGGUCUGACCUGAGGUUUCAGAAACCCCUAUACAGGGAACUGAUGCUCCCAAAUGCUUAGAAGGACCUAGUCUCCGAACAUCAACCUAGGGGUGGAAUCAUCUGAAGAAUUACUGGCUUGUCUUCCAAGUCUGAAUUGAGUCUGCUUGUUGACCUAUCGGGUAAGCACGCAGAAACUCCAAGCCUUUUCUAAAUUACAAAUGAGAAGUAUAGCUGUGGCCAAUAGUCUGAGUAGGUCUGAGUCCUACAUGACUUGGGGGAAAGGUAUGUGCUUCCUUGGGAACAGAAGAUGAAAGUUAAAAUCACCACAGCUCUUGCUGCGGGGGUUUUGAUGUAAGAAAUUGGCAACAAAAAACAGCUUGGCUCCUAAUGAGAGGAGCAGAAGCCAUGAUUGCUUUCCACUUCCUGUCCUCCUCUCAACACCUUUGGCUUCCUGUAGGUUUUUUCUGUUGUCAUUACAGGUAUACCCACUCUGCCUGCACCUUUAUUCUGUUUUUACCAUGAUCAUAUUGUGAAUUCCAUAGGAGCAUAUUAUUCACUUUAGAGUUUCCUCUUUUAAAACAUUAUUAGUUUUAUUAAAUAUUAUUAAUUACCUAAAAUUUAAGUAUUGUUAAAUAUUAGCUUGGCAGUUUCCUACACCAUGUCUCUCUAAGUGGGGAGCCACGGUAUGAGUAUAGGUUUCUCUCGGUAGUGUUGUCCAAGCUAAAAAUGGGUGGUACCUGAGAUUAAUAACAGCAUUUUCACAAAAAGUGUGUUAAAAUUUUCAGACACUUGGGCAGAUACUCAGUUUCCUCGAUAUUCUCAUAACUUUCCAAGUUGUAUCUAACCUCACGCAUAAAACAUUUGUAUGGGUUGCUUCCUGUGUUCAUCUUAUGUUUGUAGACUUUUUAAAAAUUUUUGCAUACAUUUUUCCAGUGAACUAAGGAUUGAGGCAAAAAUUUCCACUAUUACUUCUUAAACAUUGUACAAGCACUAGUUUUCAUGACAUAACAUUAACUUGUUUUUGUAAUUUUGUGCACUAUGAAAUGGCAGCAUUUUUAUCUGAGUUGCUUAUAUUAUGCCUAGUCCACAAUAGACGCCCAUAAUCACUGAAUAAUCAUGCCUAUGAGUGACCUCCUGAAAUAGUUGUGUAACAGAGGAUUUUUAAACCAUCCAAUCGGCAAAUGCCACAAAAUAGCAAUAGAAGGGACUGUAUCUCCAACACACUGCUCUGUUUAGGAGCAUGAGUGUGUGUGUGUGUGUGUGUGUGUGUGUGUGUGUGUUUUCAAACCAGAAUUACCUGAGGCAGGAAGGAAUGGCAUAUCUAACAACUGCUGCUGAGAAUUCGCUUCAUUGAGUCUCCUUUUAGUUCCUAAACCUGUGUGACGGAAUUCAUUUCUAUCCAUACACUGCAGUUUUCAACACAGGCAGUUUUAAGGCAGCUCGUAUCAUUUUAGUGGCUUUGGAAUUGAAUUGAAAAUUAUUAGAUGGAAUCCCUGGGUGGCGCAGUGGUUUGGCGCCUGCCUUUGGCCCAGGGCGCGAUCCCAUCGGGCUCCUGGUGCAUGGAGCCUGCUUCUCCCUCUGCCUGUGUCUCUGCCUCUCUCUCUCUCUCUCUCUCUCUCUCUCUGUGACUAUCAUAAAUAAAUAAAAAUUAAAACAAAAAGAAAAUUAUUAG
rnacentral:lncRNA from 12 species